CUUUAGCUCUCUGCUCGCCGCCGCCGCUGUCGCCGCCACCUCCUCUGAUCUACGAAAGUCAUGUUACCCAACACCGGUUGAAGCAGUUGGAGGAAAGGCCUUGCCAUGUAUUGUUGAUGUGAGAGAUGAACAGCAGAUCAGUGCUGCAGUGGAGAAAGCCAUCAAGAAAUUUGGAGGAAUUGAUAUUCUGGUAAAUAAUGCCAGUGCCAUUAGUUUGACCAAUACAUUGGACACACCUACCAAGAGAUUGGAUCUGAUGAUGAACGUGAACACCAGAGGCACCUACCUUGCAUCUAAAGCAUGUAUUCCUUAUUUGAAAAAGAGUAAAGUUGCUCAUAUCCUCAAUAUCAGUCCACCACUGAACCUAAAUCCAGUUUGGUUCAAACAGCACUGUGCUUAUACCAUUGCUAAGUAUGGUAUGUCUAUGUAUGUGCUUGGAAUGGCAGAAGAAUUUAAAGGUGAAAUCGCAGUCAAUGCAUUAUGGCCUAAAACAGCCAUACACACUGCUGCUAUGGAUAUGCUGGGAGGACCUGGUAUCGAAAGCCAGUGUAGAAAAGUUGAUAUCAUUGCAGAUGCAGCAUAUUCCAUUUUCCAAAAGCCAAAAAGUUUUACUGGCAACUUUGUCAUUGAUGAAAAUAUCUUAAAAGAAGAAGGAAUAGAAAAUUUUGACGUUUAUGCAAUUAAACCAGGUCAUCCUUUGCAACCAGAUUUCUUCUUAGAUGAAUACCCAGAAGCAGUUAGCAAGAAAGUGGAAUCAACUGGUGCUGUUCCAGAAUUCAAAGAAGAGAAACUGCAGCUGCAACCAAAACCACGUUCUGGAGCUGUGGAAGAAACAUUUAGAAUUGUUAAGGACUCUCUCAGUGAUGAUGUUGUCAAAGCCACUCAAGCAAUCUAUCUGUUUGAACUCUCCG
rnacentral:sRNA from 1 species